rnacentral:rRNA from 1 species
AAUAGAUACCCAGGUAGUCCACGCCGUAAACGAUGAGUGCUAAGUGUUAGAGGGUUUCCGCCCUUUAGUGCUGCAGCUAACGCAUUAAGCACUCCGCCUGGGGAGUACGGUCGCAAGACUGAAACUCAAAGGAAUUGACGGGGGCCCGCACAAGCGGUGGAGCAUGUGGUUUAAUUCGAAGCAACGCGAAGAACCUUACCAGGUCUUGACAUCCCACUGACCGGUAUAGAGAUAUACCUUUCCCUUCGGGGACAGUGGUGACAGGUGGUGCAUGGUUGUCGUCAGCUCGUGUCGUGAGAUGUUGGGUUAAGUCCCGCAACGAGCGCAACCCUUGAUCUUAGUUGCCAGCAUUUAGUUGGGCACUCUAAGGUGACUGCCGGUGACAAACCGGAGGAAGGUGGGGAUGGACGUCAAAUCAUCAUGCCCCUUAUGACCUGGGCUACACACGUGCUACAAUGGAUGGUACAAAGGGCUGCAAGACUGCGAAGUCAAGCCAAUCCCAUAAAACCAUUCUCAGUUCGGAUUGCAGG